GGAGGAAUUGCCAGAGAGGAAAAAACAAUCAAAAUACAGAAAUGUUUUUCAAUUAUAAAAAGAAAAGAAUUGAAAGUGUUGCCAAUACAAAUCCUCAAUAACCCUUGCAAUUACUCAGAAACCAAGAAAAUCCAGGACCCCGUAAUUUAAAAACAACAACAAAAAAAACAACAAAUAAAAUAUUUUCCUUAAAACACACACCUCAAAGCUAAAUACAGGACAAAACAACUUAAUGAAAGGAAGAGAGAAGGAAAAAGAAUAAAUAAAGUUGAUCCUAUUUCAUCUCAAGAUGGCUCUGGAAUUUUUGGCAAAUGGGUGGCAGCCCACAGACCUGGGGGAUGGGAGGAAUAAGGACACCGGUCCCGCAUCUGCAGGCUUUUUCCAUGUUUGGUAUCUUUCCAGCCAUUCCCUCCCCACCCACUCGUGGUGCCACCCUGCCCUUCUCACUGACUCAGGCCCUGUCCCUGCUCCCUCCCUCCCUCCUACCCUCUCUCUAGACAGUGAGCAGCUAGAGAUGAGCCCUAGGCCCAUCUUCUCUGGUCCGGAUUUUCCUCCAACUAUGGGUAGAAAGUAAUAGUGCACAGGAUGUGGGCUAGGAAACACCCACACAAGGCUCAGCUGAUGGUGAGUCCACUUCGAGGUACACAUCCGCACAGGCUGCAACACUCCCAGAAAUUAUGAGGGCACGUGUCAUUUAAGGGGUGUGCCCAACAGGGCCUCCAGGGCUCCUCGGAAGCCUCAGCAGGAAAGGGAUGAGUCAUGGCUGCUGAGCUGGCUUGCCAGGCCCGAAGCUGGCUGGCCAAUAAUUAACAUGACAAUCGCCCUACAGGCACUGACUUACAGACGAGCCUACUAAAGGGGUGUGCAGGGCAGGGAGUUCCUUCCCGGCCUCCCCUCUUCCUGAGACUUUAGAUCCUGUCCCCAUACCUCCCACCUCCAGUCUCCCGACGCCAGAAAGGCGGAGCCAGAAGAGAGGUUAGGAGCUGUCAGCUUCCAGCCCCAAAUUCACCGAAGACUCUGCCAGCAGAGACGUUCAUGAAAGAGCAAUUGUGAGGCCCAGUGUUUUCGUUUGACACCCGUCCAAGAACAGGAUGGUAAACCCAGAAGCCAGGUCACCUUUUGCUUGCUACUGACCCCUCCUGGAGUGAAGAAGACUGCAAGCUGAAGAAGCCCAGAAAAAACAAAAACAAAAACAAAAACAACAAAACAACUGGUUCUGAGUUUGCUGUUCACAAUGUUGUUUCGUUGGAACCGGAAACAGUCCAGGUCCCCAAGUGCUGGAUUUACAGAUGUGCACCACCAAGCCUGGCUUUAGUCCUGAGAAUCUUGUUUUUUAAACAGCUUCACUGUGGUCCAGGCUGCAUUGAAACUCAGCAAUCUUUCUGCCUCAGGCUACCGAGUGCUGGCAUGUAUGUCUAUGCGCCACCUGCAUGCUUAGUGCCUUCAGAGGUCAGAAGAGGAUGUUGUAUUUCCUGGAAAUAUAGUUACAGACUUUGUGAGCCACUAUGUGGGAGCUGGGAAUUGAGCCCACAAACUCUAGAAGUGCAGCCAGUGCUUCUAACUGCUGAGCCUCUCUCCAGCCCCUGUCCUGAAGUUCAGCUCCUUUUUGGGGAGGAUGAAAUCUGCCUAAAUUUGAGGUCACAGGGUAAGAGUCUCACAAUGGCAUUCCCUUUCCUCCCAGGACUUUGCCCUUCCCUCACACCUGAUAUUUCACUCAAACCUCCCUUGUGUUUUGUCUUGUAGAAAAUGGAGAUGCUACCGAGUCUUUAGGAGAUUUACACAGUAUUUAGAAAGCGCUAGUCAAAAAUGGUGGUGUCACUCCGGGGAGCCUUAGCUUACCAGGGGACCCCUGAGUGAACCACACGGAGCUGGGAUCAAUGCAAAAA